rnacentral:rRNA from 1 species
CCCCUAGAUGUUCUGGGCCGCACGCGCGCUACACUGAUGCAUUCAACGAGUCUAAAACCUGGUCUGAUAGGGCUGGGUAAUCUUUUGAAAGUGCAUCGUGAUUGGGAUAGAUGAUUGCAAUUCUUCAUCUUCAACGAGGAAUGCCUAGUAAACGCAAGUCAUCAGCUUGCAUUGAUUACGUCCCUGCCCUUUGUACACACCGCCCGUCGCUCCUACCGAUUGAAUGAUCCGAUGAAUACCAUGGAUUGAGAGUACGAAUGGGUUCGCUCAUUUCUGCUGCUCGAGAAGUGGAGUAAAUCUUAUCAUUUAGAGGAAGGAGAAGUCGUANCA